AUUAGCACAAGGACUAUAUAGGAAAAUGACAUGAAAACAAGCUGUUUUACCUAAUUCACUCCCAAAUGCAUUUUGAGCAUUUGAAUAUACAUACAGAGAUUGUGAAGGCAACAUUUAAUUCAAAGUGAUUAAGUUCAUGAUGUGUACAGAUCUCCAAACCACCAAAACAAGAUAUAAACAAGAUCACUCUCCCCAAGGAGAAACAAGUUACAAAUGAUAGCCAGUAAAAUGUUUAAAUGAAAUGGAUACAAGGAGACAUGGAACUUUAUUUAGGGAAAAAAUGCUGGAAGAAUGGAAAAGCUCUAGAAGAAGACUCUUUGGGGUCCCUAGAAGAGGGUCGAGCAGCAAGAUUUAAGAAGUCUCUUUUCCUCAGUUGUCACUGAAGAGAUCUCUCCAGUGCAGUUAUCCACUGUCAUCUGCU